UACGUAGGGGGGCAAGCGUUGUCCGGAUUUAUUGGGCGUAAAGAGCGUGUAGGCGGCCAGGUAGGUCUGCUGUGAAAACUCGAGGCUUAACCUCGAGCUGUCGGCGGAAACCAUCUGGCUAGAGUCCGGAAGAGGAGAAUGGAAUUCCCGGUGUAGCGGUGAAAUGCGCAGAUAUCAGGAAGAACACCCGUGGCGAAGGCGGCUCUCUGGGACGGUACUG
rnacentral:rRNA from 1 species